rnacentral:tRNA from 1 species
CGCGGGAUGGAGCAGUCUGGUAGCUCGUCGGGCUCAUAACCCGGAGGUCGUAGGUUCAAAUCCUGCUCCCGCAACCA